GAUGAACGCUGGCGGCGUGCCUAAUACAUGCAAGUCGAGCGAACAGACGAGGAGCUUGCUCCUCUGACGUUAGCGGCGGACGGGUGAGUAACACGUGGAUAACCUACCUAUAAGACUGGGAUAACUUCGGGAAACCGGAGCUAAUACCGGAUAUUAUAUUGAACCGCAUGGUUCAAUAGUGAAAGACGGUUUUGCUGUCACUUAUAGAUGGAUCCGCGCCGCAUUAGCUAGUUGGUAAGGUAACGGCUUACCAAGGCAACGAUGCGUAGCCGACCUGAGAGGGUGAUCGGCAACACUGGAACUGAGACACGGUCCAGACUCCUACGGGAGGCAGCAGUAGGGAAUCUUCCGCAAUGGGCGAAAGCUUGACGGAGCAACGCCGCGUGAGUGAUGAAGGUCUUCGGAUCGUAAAACUCUGUUAUUAGGGAAGAACAAAUGUGUAAGUAACUAUGCACGUCUUGACGGUACCUAAUCAGAAAGCCACGGCUAACUACGUG
rnacentral:rRNA from 1 species